rnacentral:ncRNA from 1 species
GAGGUUGAUCCCGUCCCGUCGGGGCGGGCGCACUACCGGCCGAUUCUUCUCCGCCCCUGUCGGCGAGGUCGAGCGAGAGCGUGCAAGUCGGGACCCGAAAGAUGGGUGAACUAUGCCUGAGGAGGUUGAAGCCAGAGGAAACUCUGGUGGAGGACCGUAGCGAUUCUGACGUGCAAAUCGAUCGUCAAAUUUGGGUAUAGGGGCGAAAGACUAAUCGAACCGUCUAGUAGCUGGUUCCCUUCGAAGUUUCCCUCAGGAUAGCUGGCGCUCUGUCGCAGUUUUAUCUGGUAAAGCGAAUGAUUAGAGGUCUUGGGGGCGAAACGCCCUCAACCUAUUCUCAAACUUUAAAUUGGUAAGAAGCCCGACUCGCUCGUUUGGAGCCGGGCAUGGAAUGCGAGUGCCAAGUGGGCCACUCUUGGUAAGCAGGACUGGCGAUGCGGGAUGAACCGAACGCCGGGUUAAGGCGCCCGACGCGACGCUCAUCAGAGCCCACAAAAGGUGUUGGUUGAUAUAGACAGCAGGACGGUGGCCAUGGAAGUCGGAAACCGCUAAGGAGUGUGUAACAACUCACCUGCCGAAUCAAUCAGCCCUGAAAAUGGAUGGCGCUGGAGCGUCGGGCCUACACCUUGGAGACCUGCUGCGGAUAUGGGUACGACCUCGCACGAAAAUUACACCGUCUCCCUCGGAUUUUCAAGGGCCGACGCGAGCUCACCGGACAGCACAAGAGACGUGCUGCUUUACGGGGCCCAUGUCCCUAUCUCCGGGCGAACCGAUUCCAGGGUCGCCGCCCCUUACCAAGAAAAGAGAACUCUUCCCGGGACCCACG